UUACGGCUAUAUCACGUUGAAACACCGGUUCUUGUACGAUCACUGAAGUUAAGCAACGUCAAGUCUAGUCAGUCCCUGGAUGGGGGACCGCUUGGGGAUAUCGGAUG